AGGGUUAAUUAUUUUGAAACCAUUUUUUAAAAACAUUUGUGACUACUAUUGCAACUAACAUGAUAGUCACUACCAUUAUUUUUAAAAUUUAUUAAUAAAGAAAUUAAAAACGUAUAAAGUAUACUAAAUUGUUUCCUAAAAAAAACAAGAACUAACUAUCAAUCCCUAAUCCUUAUUAUUCCUUUAAAAAAAACAAGUACAUACUCUUCUUCCUUUAAAAAAAAAAACAAAGGCUUCCAUGGCGAAUUUUAAAACCAAGUUCAGAACUUCAGAGUGAACUUGUUGCCGUCGUUUUCAUCUUCCGCUGCUGCCAGCACAUCUCCUCCCAGCAUACAUAUACUUGGAGACGUGAGUUUGAAGAAAGCCAAAAAAUAGCGGCAGAAAGUUUAAAAUAUGCCAAGGAAAUUGCUGAAAAUCAUGAGAUAGAAAAAGCAACACGGAAGAAGAAAAAAAUGGCUAUGCACAAAACAUCGAAGGAUAUGACAAACCUUGUCCAACAUUGCUGUCUUACUAAGCCUCCUACGUCUACUCUCACCCGCUCUCUUGAUUUAACUAAGUGAUUUUUAAUUUCUUGGUGAUAAUUUUGUGAACAGCUAAUCUUUAAUAUUUGGAGGCAUAUUUGUAUAUCGUUAUUAGUUUUUAUUGGAAGUAGCUUCUUUUAUAUGAGAGGUGAUUUUGAAAAAAAAUUAGUCAUAUGGUUGGUAAUGUUGUUUUUUAAUACAUUGAUACAAAACUGAUGAUAAUUUUGAUUUAUUAAUAUGGUUUGGAUAUUUGAAUAAAUUUGACAUUUUUUUUUUGUGACA